UACGAAGGGGGCUAGCGUUGUUCGGAAUCACUGGGCGUAAAGCGCACGCAGGUGGAUUGAUAAGUCAGGGGUGAAAUCCCGGAGCUCAACUUCGGAAUUGCCUUUGAUACUGUCUGUCUUGAGUCCGGGAGAGGUGAGUGGAAUUCCUAGUGUAGAGGUGAAAUUCGUAGAUAUUAGGAAGAACACCAGUGGCGAAGGCGGCUCACUGGCCCGGUACUGACGCUCAUGUGCGAAAGCGUGGGGAGCAAACAGG
rnacentral:rRNA from 1 species